CCUACAUAACAACUAGGGAGUUUGUUUUGCUAUUCCCAAAUGAAAUAUGAUUUUCCUUAUUAGAAAAGAAGUUUGUUUUUCUUAUGCAAUCUUCACUCCUGUUGCUUGACUUUAGCUGUGUCUGUUUACAUGGUGCCUAGUUGAGGCCUCCUCCUUAUUAACUCCUCUUAUGACCAAGAAAUCAUCAAGGAUCAAUGCUGCAUGGUUCAAAGCUCGGUGAACAAUAGGCUCGCCUCUCUACCCUUCUUGACUUAAAUACCAGGCUUUUGUCUAUUGAAGGGCUUGAACUCAUGAACUGCGCUUAACCCACACAUCACCUGCUUCUCUCUUACCACUAAACCAAAGCCCUGUGAUACCACACGGUAUCUACAAGCACAAAACAGUCCACACACAAACAAUAACAACCCUCAUUCACCCGCAACAACAAGACACAAGCGGUACAAGAAACAAACACUAACUUAAAGCGAUAAAGAAGAUAGUUAACUUGACACAAGGAGAACACGUAAUGUAGCAACUAAAGAGUAUAUUAAACUCUAAAACCUCUACACAACACGUUAACAAGCACCAAGUCCUUACGGUGACCGUCAAGGGAAUCAACUCACCUCAAGAUCCACCGUUUCCAAGCAACAAACAAUAUUGGCUUUUCCAAGCCCUAAACUACAAUGGUUAAUCCAAGCCCUAAACUACAAUGGCUAAUCCAAACCCUAACUAAGAACUAUACUAAGGUGGUCUACUCUCAAGAGAGAGGAUUUUCAAUGUCUCAUAUUUUCAUCAUUAAACAACUAAUUAAACAACUAAUGAGAGAAGACCUAAAAAGUCCUACUUAUAGUAUAUUACAAAAGAAGACAAAAAGACCACUUUGCCCUUAAUGAGAGGGGCUGCCAUGGUGUGUAAAUACACCAUAUGCAAUGUCCAAAAUACCCUUAAUGAAGGGGCAGCCAAGGUGUGUUGAACUUGAAUGAAUGGCACCUCUUCAAUGCUCUCAAAAUCGAGGAUGGUUUAUACUUCAAGGCUUGUGGUUCUCGGGUUAACAACAAUGUAAGCAUCCAAGCAACCUUCCACACGGGGGUUGCUUUAAGUCAUGCUCAAAACGGGCCUUCCUUGCAUAUCCUUGUGCUCUCGGGGUGACCAAGUCUUGAGCCUUUAGGUGUUGGCCUCCAAAGAUGUCAUCAAAAGCUAUAACCAUGGCUUGUAUCAACCAUUAAGUGAUUGACUUGUAUCAUCCUCCCCUCCUUGAAAAGGAUUCGACCUCGAAUCCAUACCUUGCAAAACAAGAGUAAGGACAAACAAGCACAACUUACUUAUGGCAUGAGAGUUAGAGUUAGCACAAUAAUAAACAUCAUCAUGCCAAGGCGGAACAUACUUGAAAUAUAACCAUGAAUCCGUUGUGUUAGUCAUGAAAAGCUUAGCAAAAACAUCACAAAGGGCAUGGGUAUGACCAGUAGAUAAAGAAACUACAAAGGACUCAAUAGUAUCCCGAAGUCCCAAAGGUAAGGCUACCCGUAACUUAGGGACCAUAAAGCACAAUUGUUUCCUUACCCCUUCAAGUGACCUCAUCAAAUGUGGUGCCACUAUUGGUCUUAAAGUCCACCAAACACACAUGACAUAGUCAUUAGAACAAGUCAACCAACCAACAAGUUUCGUACCUCUACGUAAUACAAAUCCAAAACUAACAUGGAUGUCAUCAUAGGCAAAGAGUUAGUAUAGGAAAGAACCAAGUGUAAAGGUAUACACGGGUGAAGAUAAAUCAUUUAAGCACAUACACAUUCUUUCCUUCAAGCAAAUAGGCAACUUGGCAUCCUCAAGUUGGUAUUUAUGCAAUGUAAGCACAAGUAUGUCAAGCAAGGAUGCAAAUUUAGAAACAUUACCCAAGGAGUCAAUGACACCUUUGCCCUCGGGUUUUCAAGAAGGACUACACAUUCCUUACCCUUAAGCGUGCUCUCAUCUUUCAAAAAGAGAUUUCCAUCUUUAGGAGGAAUGUUGUCACACCACAGUGGAUUAGCAUAUCGUCUAUAGACUUCAAGGCAAUCUAUACCAUUAUUUUCUCCACUAGGUUCCUUAGGAGUAUGUAUAUCAUCUUCAAACAAGACAUUAUACCUAAAGAGAGAAUGAUCUAUCCCACGGGCAGAUUUGAAACUAGCAAAUUCCUCACUCUCUAAAAGAUCAAUAUCAAGUUUUAAAGAGGUUUCAAGCAUAAGAUUGUCCCAAGAAUGGCUCUCGGGUUCACUCCCAUUUUGUUGACCAAUAUUUUCAAGUAUUUCACUCACUUGAGUUCUAUUAAUCACAUCACACACAUACUCAAGUCGUGGACAAGUUUCACAAAUAAGUUGGUCAACACAAUUUUCACACGACGAUGUACUUUCAUUCAACGCAAUAGCUUCAACACUAGGUGGACACACGUUAAUCUUACAAGAAGAGUCAACUCGGGCAUCUAUAGGAUCAACUAGUGUAUCCACUCGCACAAUAUGUACAUCAUCCACAAAUGGCAAAGAAUCAAUAUACUCACAUGUUCGUCUUUACCUCGGUGUGAAAGUUCGUCACAAGCUUGGGCAGCAACAUCCUUCGGGAAGCUCUCAUCGCAAGUUGUUUGGACAAUUGGAUUUUGAGGGAAGAGUUUGGGUAACAAUUGGCGUAUAAUUUCAAUGUGCCGUUGCAUAUCUUCAAGAUCGUCGUUGAUGCGAUCACACAUGGCCUUGAAAUUAUGGGCAACCAUGGUACCUAACAAAAAAAAAGGACAACAACAAACAAAAGAAAACAAACAAGAUUAGUAGUAAAAGCUCCUCACCAACACUCGUAUACACUCACCUUUGUGAUUCUCAUAAUUGGAGCGACAAAUAUUGAAAGUUGCUUAUACUCCGAUAGUCAAUAAGAUGUCAAUCCUACUUGGCGGCCAGAAUGGAUUCUUGUUUUGAUUGACUUAAGACACAAAACAAAAUUCACUUACGAACUUGAAACAAAGAAGUUACUCCGAGUUACAAACGAGAAAAGCACACAAAUAACGAAGACACGAAAGAAACAUAUUCAAAAACUAAUUUACAACUUAGUAGGUAUUUACUAGUUGCCAAUUAGUAUAAGAAUAAAAAAAAUGGAACUAAGAAUCAACAACAAGAAACUAAGAAUCCAAGAUUUUGAGCCCCAAGUUCCGGUAUUGUACAAAAAUUGGUGAUAUGGCGGUUUAGGAUUGGUUGAGGUUUUUGAAAGGUUCUUAUUUUUCCAACUUUGAAAUUUUGGUUCAAUUUUCAAUUCUUGAAGAAGUGUAUUUCGGCGUUGGAGAAGAAAAUUAUCAAGAUUGGAGCCCUUUCUCACAUUCAAAAAGGUUUGACUUGUCUUACACCUUUUGGGCAAGACACCUUUUUGAAGGGUUGGUGGCCCUUUCCUCUUUUGGACACCUAGAAAAGUGUUCUUUCUCUUUUUUGGUACAAAGUCUUUUGUAGAUCUUUUUGUCCCCCUUCCCUUUUGGUAGGUCUUUGGGAUUUGUUUUCAAGACUAACAAAGGCCUCAAUUCUUUCUACUUGGCUUUUGGAUCAAGCAGCACUAUUGAAGAGCUUUUUUGCAACUAGACAUGAAGAUAGUCUAGAACAACAAGAACUUUCAAUAGAAGUUUGAAAACCUAGCCUCACUUUGAACCUCCAAUAAUCAACAACACCUUUUUCAAGCUUAAAAAUCACAACAAAAUACCAACAACAUGAGCUCAAACCACACCUUCGAGUUUCGGUCCACACAAUAACACUAGCAAUGUUCAUGCUCUUGAAAACGUAACAACAAUACCAACAAAAAUGUUCAAGCUCAACUUGGAUCUAGACUCAAGGGUGUUAGUGAAGACAAAACUAACACUUAGAAACAACUAAGACAAGCAAAACACACCUAGAUCUCGACACAAAUCUCGGCCAAAACAACAACAAGAACAUAAUUUCGGCCAAGAACACAAAAAAUGGACAGAUUUGGCUCUUUUUGAUUUUUCAGUUCUCUAACACUUUUUUUUUUAUUUUCAAUUUUAUGAGCCCAAGAUUGAUCUUGUGGGAACAAGAUCAAGCCUUGCUCUGAUACCAAAUGAUACCACACGGUAUCUACAAGCACAAAACAGUCCACACACAAACAAUAAUCCCCCACAUUCACCCGCAACAACAAGACACAAAUGGUACAAGAAACGAACAUUAACUUAAAGCGAUAAAGAAGAUAGUUAACUUGACACAAGGAGAACACGUAAUGUAGCAACUAAAGAGUAUAUUACUAAAACCUCUACACAACACGUUAACAAGCACCAAGUCCUUACGGUGACCGCCAAGGGAAUCAACUCACCUCAAGAUCCACCGUUUUCAAGCAACGAACAAUAUUGGCUUUUCCAAGCCCUAAACUACAAUGUUUAAUCCAAACCCUAACUAAGAACUAUACUAAGGUGGUCUACUCUCAAGAGAGGGGAUUUUCAAUGUCUCAUAUUUUCAUCAUUAAACAACUAAUGAGAGAAGACCUAAAAAGUCCUACUUAUAGUAUAUUACAAAAAAAGACAAAAAAACCACUUUGCCCUUGAUGAGAGGGGCUGCCAUGAUGUGUAAAUACACCAUGUGCAAUGUCCAAAAUACCCUUAAUGAAGGGGUGCGAUGUCCAAAAUACCUUAAUGAAGGGGCGGCCAAGGUGUAUUGGACUUGAAUGAAUGACACCUCUUCAAUGCUCUCAAAAUCGAGGAUGGUUUAUACUUCAAGGCUUCUGGUUCUCGGGUUAACAACAAUGUAAGCAUCCAAGCAACCUUCCACACGCGGGAUUGCUUUAAGUCAUGCUCAAAACGGGCCUUCCUUGCAUAUCCUUAUGCUCUCGGGGUGACCAAGUCUUGAGCCUUU
rnacentral:lncRNA from 1 species